GUGCUCAAUUCAGCAGCACAAAAAAAAAAAUGGAACAAUACAGAGAAGAUUAGCAUGGCCUCUGCACAAGGUCGACAUGCAAAUUAGUGAAGCUUUUCAUAUUUUU